UACGUAGGGGGGAAGCGUUGUCCGGAAUUAUUGGGCGUAAAGAGCGUGUAGGCGGCCAGAUAAGUCCGCUGUGAAAUCUCGAGGCUCAACUUCGAGCUGUCGGUGGAAACUAUCUGGCUAGAGUCCGGAAGAGGAGAAUGGAAUUCCUGGUGUAGCGGUGAAAUGCGCAGAUAUCAGGAAGAACACCCGUGGCGAAGGCGGUUCUCUGGGACGGUACUGACGCUGAGGAACGAAAGCCAGGGUAGCGAACGGG
rnacentral:rRNA from 1 species